GUCAGUUUAUGUGUCAGUUCGCGUUAGUCAUGGUCCAUUUUGCGAGUGACUCAAAGGAAAGGGUUCGGUGCAGGAUGAAGAGAAAGAGGGGAAACUUGCUGUUUGGAAUUCCCAAAUUCAUUUCCACGCCUAUAUUUUGAAUAAAACGAAAUAGGAAUAAAAUGCUGUGGUGGUGUGAUGCGGCCUGGCGUUGGAGUUGUUGAGUUCCUGUUACCACCCUGAAGUUGUUUCUUUUCGUUAAACAUCAGGUCUUACAACAUCAGGUGUGUUAUUUCUCUCAUAACACAUUAAUUUGAACAUGUUACAUUUUCUAACCAAUUAUAUUUACAUUUUAUUUUGUGGAACUUCUGUGGAAUGACCACCAAACUAGUAUAUGAAAUCAAAUUUGUGACAAACUUAUUGAAACAACAAAAAAUAACUUUACCCAGAAACUAGAAACUCCUCUGUCCUGAAAACUUACUGUUACAAGGCACUGACACUAGAGAUUCCUUUCAUUAAUGACAUAUAAACAUCUCCUUAAUAUCAAAGGUUAUGCAUUUUCCUUUGCUGCACGUUUUGUAGUCUGUUGAUUUACUAUUCUUAGACUCAGACUAUUGUACAGCAUACGCAGUUUAACUCCUUGUCAAGUAGUUAUUACUAUAGAAACGAUAACUUCUUAGCAUUAAUGUUAACCUGUCUCCUUCCUUUUGCAUGUGUGUAAAACCUGAUGGUUUGUCUCUACCCCUCUAUUGAAGUUUUUCACGAGUUAUUUUGAAGCAAAAUAGACUUCAUGCAGACUCUUAUGUUUAAAACAACACUAAUAAAUUAAAUGUU
ensembl:lncRNA